CCCAGACUCCUACGGGAGGCAGCAGUGGGGGAUAUUGCACAAUGGGGGAAACCCUGAUGCAGCGACGCCGCGUGGGUGAAGGAGCACCUCGGUGCGUAAAGCUCUAUCAGCAGGGAAGAAAAUGACGGUACCUGACUAAGAAGCCCCGGCUAACUACGUGCCAGCAGCCGCGGUAAUACGUAGGGGGCAAGCGUUAUCCGGAUUUACUGGGUGUAAAGGGAGCGUAGACGGCUGUGCAAGCCAGAUGUGAAAGCCCGGGGCUCAACCCCGGGACUGCAUUUGGAACUGCGUGGCUUGAGUGUCGGAGAGGCAGGCGGAAUUCCUAGUGUAGCGGUGAAAUGCGUAGAUAUUAGGAGGAACACCAGUGGCGAAGGCGGCCUGCUGGACGAUGACUGACGUUGAGGCUCGAAAGCGUGGGGAGCAAACAGGAUUAGAUACCCCAGUACC
rnacentral:rRNA from 1 species